GGGGGUGUAGCUCAGUUGGGAGAGCGUCUGCUUUGCACGCAGAAGGCCAGCGGUUCGAAUCCGCUCAUCUCCA
rnacentral:tRNA from 1 species